rnacentral:rRNA from 1 species
CCUACGGGAGGCAGCAGUGGGGAAUUUUGCGCAAUGCUCGUAAGAGUGACGCAGCGACGCCGCGUGAAUGACGAAGGCCUUCGGGUCGUAAAGUUCUUUCGACAGGGAAGAAAAUGCCUAUAAGUAACUGUGUAUGUAUUGACGGUACCUGUAUAAGCAGACCCGGCUAACUCCGUGCCAGCAGCCGCGGUAAUACGGAGGGGGCGAGCGUUGUUCGGAGGGACUGGGCGUAAAGAGCACGUAGGCGGUGUUGUAAGUAAUUAGUCAAAGACUAGAGCUCAACUUUAGUAAGGCUAGUGAUACUAUAAUACUAGAGUAUCAGAGAGGAUUGCAGAAUUCCUGGUGUAGCGGUGAAAUGCGUAGAUAUCAGGAGGAAUACCGUUAGCGAAGGCGGCAAUCUGGCUGGAAACUGACGCUGAGGUGCGAAAGCGUGGGUAGCAAACAGGAUUAGAUACCCUAGUAGUC